rnacentral:misc_RNA from 1 species
UUUCCGUAGGUGAACCUGCGGAAGGAUCAUUCAUAAUAAAGUGUUUUAUGGCACUUUUUAAAAAUCCAUAUCCACCUGGUGUGCAAUGUUAGAUCUCGUCAAUCUUGGCGAGAUUUUUAUACAUCAACUCAUUCUUUAACUAAUUUGUCUGAAAAAUAUUAUGAAUACUUAAUUCAAAAUACAACUUUCAACAACGGAUCUCUUGGCUCUC